UGUCCUGCAGUCUCCAAUGGGGGAAGCACCAGUGCUCACUGCCACACUAGUAGGUGAAGCAUCCUCCAAAUUGACCCGAUUUCCAGGUACCACUUCCAUUUUUGAUACCAACUCUCAUCCAACCCGAUUUCGUUGCUGAGGUUGAACAAGAAGCCUGGUUCUCAGUCUGCCUUCAUCAGGAAGAAGUGUACUAAGUUGGUUACGAAAAGUUUGGUAUCCAAAAUGGCUGGUGAUGAAGGGACGCAGGUCACUGCAGAUGUCACUUCAGGAGAUAUGAUUUUCGGGCCUAUUAUUGAGGAUGGUGUGUUCCGAUUUGAUUGUUCUGCAAAUGAUAGAGAAGCAGCACAUUCUAGUCUCUCUUUUGCGAAUGGCAAGGAUAGGGAGACACCGAUUCAGAGUCAGAACAUGCCGUCCUAUAUCCCAAAUUUUGAACGUCUUCUUGGGCAGCAGAUUGUUAAACUUGAGCUUCCUGUUGGUACCUCUUUAUAUUGGUACCUCUUUAUACGGCACUGGGGAGGUUAGUGGGCAACUUGAGCGGACAGGAAAAAGAGUUUUUACUUGGAAUUCGGAUGCAUGAGGCUAUGGCUCUGGAACUACGUCAUUGUACCAGUCACACCCUUGGGUGCUAGCUGUUCUUCCUUCUGGAGAGGCAUUAGGAGUUCUUGCUGAUACAACAAAGCGUUGUGAGGUACUGUAUUUAUGCCCCCAAAGUGGUCCUUGGGUUAUCAACAAUUAAUGUUGCUGGAGCUAUGACUCUGAUAAGAGAGUUCAAGAGGCAUGUAGUUGGUAUUUAUCUCAAGUGCUGAAGAGUUUUCUUGAUACGUCUGAAGCUGAAGUAAGGUCACUAAUUAAUCUCCUUGUACUCUGAAGUGGGAAGAAAUGCAGAUUCUUUGUCUCAAUACUUUGGGGAGGAUCCAUCUCGGUGUCCUUUUGAACAAGUGACACAGGUGUUGUUCGUCUUCGUCAAGAUGGUCAGCAAGUGGCGAGAGGAAAAUGAAAGACUAGCUGAUAUUGAAAAGAAGAAGCUUGAAAAAGAAGCCAUGAAAGAGCGAACUAUAGCUAAUUCAUCUGCAAAGAAAGAUGCUGUGGAUAGAGCAACAUGAGAUCGACAUAUAUUGGUGUGGUUUUGGAGGGUAAAUUCUACAUAUAUUCUUGCUGAUACUUUAUGGAUUAACAUAUAUUCUUGCUGAUACUUUAUGGAUUAACAUACUUGGAGCAAAAGUUAACUACUGCUACUAAAUUUAUCUACUCUGCUGAAUAUCAGGCAUUUGCACCUCUUUCGGGAGUUGCUGUGCAAAUCAAGAUGUACACUGCAUUAGGCUAUUUAUAAUGGUCAACUAGUUGGCGAUUUUCACAUGUGCUCUUUCUAAGCAUUUCUCCUGCGAAACGAUAAUGUGUAUAAUACAACUUGCCUUGUUGUAUUCGAGCUGUAAAUAUGUAAGAAAUUAUGCUAGCACUGUAAUAUUCUUUCCUUCUCUCAAAUCAUUUUGUACGAUCUCAUCUAAAAGGAAGAACGAUUUUGUUGAGACAAUUUUUUGGAUUUUAAUGGGCAUGUGGCCUUGGUAUGGAGAUAACCUAGAUGAAUAUGAAUCAU